AUCAUGGUCAGUCUUUGCAUAUUUUGAUGUUCAUAACCAUCGUCACCCACAAAACCACGAGGUUUUCGACCCAGAUCCCUCUGGGUAUUUUUGCUGCGUGGGUUAUCUUAACUGGAGUUCCUCUCGUUUUGCUAAAUCAGCCAUAGUUGUGUUUGGCGACACAAAGGGACUAGCGAAUCAAAGUUUCCCGUUUCCACUGCCAUUCCUGUCCUGGCCUUCUUAUCCUCGCAUCAAGCAUUUAAAUUUGAAACAAAUAUUUUGCAAUAAACUUAAGACUCUGCAACUCUUUUUUCUACCAUUGUGGUUAUCCAGUAACCACAAUGGUACAAAAAGAUGGCUUUUGUUUUUACAAGUGCACUUUCAACUGAGAUGAGGCAUGGGGUUUAGCUUGAGAGUCCCUUCAGAGGAGAGAACUUUGAAAGCCAGAAACAAUGCCUGCCAAAUGCACGAUAAGAGGCACAGAAAUACAAUUUAACUGGCAUUUGCAUUGUUUUUAACUACCAUCAAAUCCAGUCAAAAUCCCAAAAACUGCUUGUGCUCUGAAAUAUCUGGGUCUGAGAUUUCAGUUCUUGACAUUGGUUCA